rnacentral:tRNA from 1 species
GCCGGGCUAGCUCAGCCGGUUAGAGCGCCAGACCUUCAACCAGAAGUCGGGGGUUCGAAGCCCCCGCCCGGCA